rnacentral:pre_miRNA from 1 species
UCUUAUGGAUAAGGAAAAAAAGUGGUUUCUUGAGAUGGAAUCUACUCCUGGUGAAGAUGCUAUGAA